GAUGAAGAACGUUGCGAAAUGCGAUAAGUAAUGUGAAUUGCAGAAUCCAGUGAAUCAUCGAAUCUUUGAACGCACAUUGCGCCCGCCAGCAUUCUGGCGGGCAUGCCUGUUCGAGCGUCAUUUCAACCCUCGACCUCCCCUUGGGGAGGUCGGCGUUGGGGACCGGCAGCACACCGCCGGCCCUGAAAUGGAGUGGCGGCCCGUCUGCGGCGACCUCUGCGUAGUAAUACAGCUCGCACCGGAACCCCGACGCGGCCACGCCGUAAAACACCCAACUUCUGAACGUUGACCUCGAAUCAGGUAGGACUACCCGCUGAACUUAAGCAUAUCAAUAAGCGGAGGA
rnacentral:misc_RNA from 1 species